AUUGAACGCUGGCGGAAUGCUUUACACAUGCAAGUCGAACGGCAGCACGGACUUCGGUCUGGUGGCGAGUGGCGAACGGGUGAGUAAUGUAUCGGAACGUGCCCAGUCGUGGGGGAUAACGUAGUGAAAAUUACGCGAAUACCGCAUACGAUCUAUGGAAGAAAGCGGGGGAUCGCAAGACCUCGCGCGAUUGGAGCGGCCGAUAUCAGAUUAGGUAGUUGGGGGGGUAAAGGCCCACCAAGCCAACGAUCUGUAGCUGGUCUGAGAGGACGACCAGCCACACUGGAACUGAGACACGGUCCAGACUCCUACGGGAGGCAGCAGUGGGGAAUUUUGGACAAUGGGCGAAGGCCUGAUCCAGCCAUUCCGCGUGCAGGAUGAAGGCCCUCGGGUUGUAAACUGCUUUUGUACAGAACGAAAAGGUUUCUACUAAUACUAGGAGCUCAUGACGGUACUGUAAGAAUAAGCACCGGCUAACUACGUGCCAGCCGCCGCGGUAA
rnacentral:rRNA from 1 species